CCCGCUGAACUUAAGCAUAUCAAUAAGCGGAGGAAAAGAAACCAACAGGGAUUGCCUUAGUAACGGCGAGUGAAGCGGCAAAAGCUCAAAUUUGAAAUCUGGCUUCCUAUAUGGCGGCCCGAGUUGUAGUUUGAAAAGCAUGCUUUGGGUGUGGUCGCUGACUACGUCCCCUGAAACGGGCCUUCAUAGAGAGAGAGAAUCCCGUCUGUGACUGCUGGCCCCGCCUGUGUGAAGCUCCUUCGACGAGUCGAGUUGUUUGGGAAUGCAGCUCUAAAUGGGUGGUAAAUUUCAUCUAAAGCUAAAUAUUGGCCGGAGACCGAUAGCGCACAAGUAGAGUGAUCGAAAGAUGAAAAGCACUUUGAAAAGAGAGUUAAACAGCAUGUGAAAUUGUUGAAAGGGAAGCGCUUGCGACCAGACUCGUCCGCGAAGGGUUCAGUCGCCAGUGCUUUGGCGGUGCACUCCUUUGUGGUCGGGCCAGCGUCGGUUCUGGCGGUUGGAUAAAGACUCUCGGAAUGUGUCUUUUCUCGGGGAGUCUUAUAGCCGUGGGUGCAAUGCGGCCUGUCGGGACCGAGGAACGCGCUCCGGCUCGGACGCUGGCGUAAUGGUUGUAAGCGACCCGUCUUGAAACACGG
rnacentral:rRNA from 1 species